rnacentral:rRNA from 1 species
GGGCUUAGUGGUGGGGUGACUGCGUACCUUUUGUAUAAUGGGUCAGCGACUUAUAUUCUGUAGCAAGGUUAACCGUAUAGGGGAGCCGGAGGGAAACCGAGUCUUAACCGGGCGUUAAGUUGCAGGGUAUAGACCCGAAACCCGGUGAUCUAGCCAUGGGCAGGUUGAAGGUUGGGUAACACUAACUGGAGGACCGAACCGACUAAUGUUGAAAAAUUAGCGGAUGACCUGUGGCUGGGGGUGAAAGGCCAAUCAAACCGGGAGAUAGCUGGUUCUCCCCGAAAGCUAUUUAGGUAGCGCCUCGUGAAUUCAUCUCCGGGGGUAGAGCACUGUUUCGGCUAGGGGGCCAUCCCGGCUUACCAACCCGAUGCAAACUGCGAAUACCGGAGAAUGUUAUCACGGGAGACACACGGCGGGUGCUAACGUCCGUCGUGAAGAGGGAAACAACCCAGACCGCCAGCUAAGGUCCCAAAGUCAUGGUUAAGUGGGAAACGAUGUGGGAAGGCCCAGACAGCCAGGAUGUUGGCUUAGAAGCAGCCAUCAUUUAAAGAAAGCGUAAUAGCUCACUGGUCGAGUCGGCCUGCGCGGAAGAUGUAACGGGGCUAAACCAUGCACCGAAGCUGCGGCAGCGAACGUAUCACCCAAGACAACUUUACGGAGUUGACGAUUGACGGAGCGAAGCGACGUCAAAGCGUUCAUUAAAGUCGAGUUGGCUUAGGGAUACGUUCGUUGGGUAGGGGAGCGUUCUGUAAGCCUGUGAAGGUGUGUCGUGAGGCAUGCUGGAGGUAUCAGAAGUGCGAAUGCUGACAUAAGUAACGAUAAAGCGGGUGAAAAGCCCGCUCGCCGGAAGACCAAGGGUUCCUGUCCAACGUUAAUCGGGGCAGGGUGAGUCGACCCCUAAGGCGAGGCCGAAAGGCGUAGUCGAUGGGAAACGGGUUAAUAUUCCCGUACUUGGUGUUACUGCGAAGGGGGGACGGAGAAGGCUAUGUUGGCCGGGCGACGGUUGUCCCGGUUUAAGCGUGUAGGUGUGUGUUCCAGGUAAAUCCGGUUCACUUUAACACUGAGGCGUGACGACGAGGCACUACGGUGCUGAAGCAACAAAUGCCCUGCUUCCAGGAAAAGCCUCUAAGCAUCAGGUAACACGAAAUCGUACCCCAAACCGACACAGGUGGUCAGGUAGAGAAUACCAAGGCGCUUGAGAGAACUCGGGUGAAGGAACUAGGCAAAAUGGUGCCGUAACUUCGGGAGAAGGCACGCUGACACGUAGGUGAAGUGAUUUACUCAUGGAGCUGAAGUCAGUCGAAGAUACCAGCUGGCUGCAACUGUUUAUUAAAAACACAGCACUGUGCAAACACGAAAGUGGACGUAUACGGUGUGACGCCUGCCCGGUGCCGGAAGGUUAAUUGAUGGGGUCAGCGUAAGCGAAGCUCCUGAUCGAAGCCCCGGUAAACGGCGGCCGUAACUAUAACGGUCCUAAGGUAGCGAAAUUCCUUGUCGGGUAAGUUCCGACCUGCACGAAUGGCGUAAUGAUGGCCAGGCUGUCUCCACCCGAGACUCAGUGAAAUUGAACUCGCUGUGAAGAUGCAGUGUACCCGCGGCAAGACGGAAAGACCCCGUGAACCUUUACUAUAGCUUGACACUGAACAUUGAGCCUUGAUGUGUAGGAUAGGUGGGAGGCUUUGAAGUGUGGACGCCAGUCUGCAUGGAGCCGACCUUGAAAUACCACCCUUUAAUGUUUGAUGUUCUAACGUGGACCCGUAAUCCGGGUUGCGGACAGUGUCUGGUGGGUAGUUUGACUGGGGCGGUCUCCUCCUAAAGAGUAACGGAGGAGCACGAAGGUUGGCUAAUCCUGGUCGGACAUCAGGAGGUUAGUGCAAUGGCAUAAGCCAGCUUGACUGCGAGCGUGACGGCGCGAGCAGGUGCGAAAGCAGGUCAUAGUGAUCCGGUGGUUCUGAAUGGAAGGGCCAUCGCUCAACGGAUAAAAGGUACUCCGGGGAUAACAGGCUGAUACCGCCCAAGAGUUCAUAUCGACGGCGGUGUUUGGCACCUCGAUGUCGGCUCAUCACAUCCUGGGGCUGAAGUAGGUCCCAAGGGUAUGGCUGUUCGCCAUUUAAAGUGGUACGCGAGCUGGGUUUAGAACGUCGUGAGACAGUUCGGUCCCUAUCUGCCGUGGGCGCUGGAGAACUGAGGGGGGCUGCUCCUAGUACGAGAGGACCGGAGUGGACGCAUCACUGGUGUUCGGGUUGUCAUGCCAAUGGCACUGCCCGGUAGCUAAAUGCGGAAGAGAUAAGUGCUGAAAGCAUCUAAGCACGAAACUUGCCCCGAGAUGAGUUCU